rnacentral:misc_RNA from 1 species
GUGGUGACGACGAUGAGGAAGGUCCAAGGGGAGGAGAUCAUGAUAUUGACGAUGAUGAUACUGAGAAAGGUGAUGAUUGGGAGCAUGAAGAAAUUUUCACUGAUGAUGAUGAAGCAGUUGGUAAUGAUCCCGAGGAACGGGAAGACUUGGCCCCUGAGGUUCCUGCUCCUCCAGAAAUCAAGCAGGAUGAAGAUGAUGAAGAUGA